UCCAUUUGGAAUCUUCUUGUCCUUAACUAUUGUAAAUGAUUGGGUCUUUGUGUGUUGUCUUCUUGUUCUUAACAACUAUGGGUUUGUUCUUGGUGUUUUUAAAGUCAUGAGAAUUUGUAGAUAUCUUCUUAUUUAUGUUGGGAAAGUCAUUUGUAAUGGUUGUUGGUGAAUAGCAGUCUCUUUGGUAAUUAUGCAUUAUAGAAUAGUUGUAAAAGAAUUAGGCUUGCUAAUGAAUUAAAAUUGAUUUUGAAAAUUGAAAAAGACAUGUA
rnacentral:lncRNA from 1 species